rnacentral:rRNA from 1 species
GAUGAACGCUGGCGGCGUGCCUAAUACAUGCAAGUCGAGCGAACAGACGAGGAGCUUGCUCCUCUGACGUUAGCGGCGGACGGGUGAGUAACACGUGGAUAACCUACCUAUAAGACUGGGAUAACUUCGGGAAACCGGAGCUAAUACCGGAUAAUAUAUUGAACCGCAUGGUUCAAUAGUGAAAGACGGGUUUGCUGUCACUUAUAGAUGGAUCCGCGCCGCAUUAGCUAGUUGGUAAGGUAACGGCUUACCAAGGCAACGAUGCGUAGCCGACCUGAGAGGGGGAUCGGCCACACUGGAACUGAGACACGGUCCAGACUCCUACGGGAGGCCGCAGUAGGGAAUCUUCCGCAAUGGGCGAAAGCCUGACGGAGCAACGCCGCGUGAGUGAUGCAGGUCUUCGGAUCGUAAAACUCUGUUAUUGGUGAAGAACAAAUGUGUAAGUAACUAUGCACGUCUUGACGGUACCUAAUCAGAAAGCCACGGCUAACUACGUG